rnacentral:lncRNA from 1 species
GUGGCACUCCACAGCCUUCCUCUGAGGACUGAGGACCUGAUGUUUCCUGUUUGUUUUGAGAGGUUGCAGACGUAUGGCCACCGGUUCAUGUAGUCAACAGGUCAGGGGGGCUGUUGCCACCGAAGGAAGGGGGAUAGUGCUGACAAGACUGAUGGUAAUGAUGACAUCUAACGUACAUGGAGCAGCUCUAUCUGCCAGACACUAAGCUCACACUGCAAGUGCCUUCUCCCAGAAGACUUGAUACCGGGAUAUCCUGAGAGCCAAAUCAAAAGCUGCUUUCCACCAGGAUGUUCUUGUUUGAUGAGUGCGAACUCAGUGCUGGAUAAGGCUGGAA